rnacentral:lncRNA from 1 species
UCUGGGUAAAGAUGGACGUCCACGAUCUCUUUCGCCGGCUCGGCGCGGGGGCCAAAUUCGACACGAGACGCUUCUCGGCAGACGCAGCUCGAUUCCAGAUAGGAAAAAGGAAAUAUGACUUUGAUUCUUCGGAGGUGCUUCAGGGACUGGACUUUUUUGGAAACAAGAAGUCUGUCCCAGGUGUGUGUGGAGCAUCACAAACACAUCAGAAGCCCCAAAAUGGAGAGAAAAAAGAAGAGAACCUAACUGAAAGGAAGAGGGAGCAGAGCAAGAAAAAAAGGAAGACGAUGACUUCAGGUGAACGAUGAACUAUACAUCCAUACAAUGG